UGGGGAAUUUUGCGCAAUGGGGGAAACCCUGACGCAGCAACGCCGCGUGGAGGAUGAAAUAUCUUGGUAUGUAAACUCCUUUCGAUGGGGAAGAUUAUGACGGUACCCAUAGAAGAAGCCCCGGCUAACUUCGUGCCAGCAGCCGCGGUAAUACGAGGGGGGCAAGCGUUGUUCGGAUUUAUUGGGCGUAAAGGGUGCGUAGGCGGUUUGGCAAGUCUUAUGUGAAAUCUUCGGGCUCAACCCGAAGCCUGCAUAAGAAACUGCCGGGCUUGAGUAUGGGAGAGGUGAGUGGAAUUUCCGGUGUAGCGGUGAAAUGCGUAGAUAUCUGCAGGAACACCCGUGGCGAAGGCGGCUGACCGGAUCGCAACUGACACUGAGGAACGAAAGCUAGGGGAGCAAACAGGAUUAGAUACCCUGGUAGUCCUAGCCCUAAACCAUCGGAACUUGGGGUGGCCCGCGUAGGCGGGUCGUCCCGUAGCUAACGCGUUAAG
rnacentral:rRNA from 1 species